UGCUUAAUACAUGCAAGCUCGAACGCUGAAGCUGACUAGCUUGCUAGCUUAGUGGAUGAGCUGGCGAACGGGUGAGCUAAUACGUAGGUAACCUGCCCUAAAGCUGGGGGAUAGCAGUUGGAAACGACUAUUAAUACCCCAUAGGUAAUUGAAUGGCAUCUUUCAAUUAUUAAAGACGCGUUUGCGUCGCUGUAGGAUGGACUUACGGUGCAUUAGCUUGUUGGUGAGGUAACGGCUCACCAAGGCGAUGAUGCAUAGCCGGCCUGAGAGGGUGAACGGCCACAUUGGGACUGAGACACGGCCCAGACUCCUACGGGAGGCAGCAGUAAGGAAUUUUCGGCAAUGGGCGAAAGCCUGACCGAGCAACGCCGCGUGAGUGAUGAAGGUCUUCGGAUCGUAAAACUCUGUUGUAAAGGAAGAACUGAUACUUGAGGAAAUGCUCGUAUCUUGACGGUACUUUACUAGAAAGUCACGGCUUACUACGUGCCAGCAGCCGCGGUAAUACGUAGGUGGCAAGCGUUAUCCGGAUUUAUUGGGCGUAAAGGGUGCGCAGGCGGUCUGUUAAGUUUGAGGUGAAAGCGUUGGGCUCAACCCAAUCAAGCCUUGAAUACUGGCAGACUAGAGUGCAGAAGAGGGUAUUGGAAUUCCAUGUGUAGCGGUAAAAUGCAUAGAUAUAUGGAGGAACACCGGUGGCGAAGGCGGAUACCUGGUCUGUAACUGACGCUCAGGCNCGAAAGCGUGGGGAGCAAAUAGGAUUAGAUACCCUAGUAUCCACGCCCUAACGAUGAAACUAAUGUGGA
rnacentral:rRNA from 1 species